CCUGUUUGGCCAUGAGAAAUUUUCACUCUUUUCGGGAAAAUUAUUUUCAUUUAUUUGAAAAUCAACGUUUGGCCUUGACAAUUCCAAAUACAAAGUUGUAUUUGAAAUUUAAAAAACAUCUAAAAUCAUGUUUUCACCUUUUUCACUUUUAAUACAUUUAAAUAAUCAAAUAUUUUUUGCGAACUUCUUCAAUUCCAACUUCAAAAUUCCAUAUAAAGUAAAAAAUAUUUGGUUUUCAUGGCCAAACGCCUACUUAAAGUCAUUAUGUUGAUUAGAAAUCCCUCAAAGCCUAUCUGAGCUGAAAAUGUUGAGUAUUUUGAUGACCAAGAAUUAUGAUCGAGAAUCUUGAACAAGGUUUAACUUGUCAGAGCUUAUUUCUUCAUUCCCUAAACUAAUGGCGCUUUUCUUCGGCGGCCCAUUCUUCAAGCAUACCGAUCUGAGUUCAAAUCCUUUUUUACGGUUUUCCAAUUCAAGGCCUUAAGUUAAGGAUUCAAUGGAAGAAUUAUAAGGAAUAUCACCACAAAAGGUCAGUGUUCUUUAUAUCUUUAUCUGCCUUUUUAAAUAGUAAUCAUAGUUCUUUUACUGCUCUCUCUAUUAAAUUAUGUUUGUGAGGACAUUGUUGAAGGAUGUUUCGAAUUUUAUGUGUGUUAGUCAGGGGUUCUCCUACUUCAACAAUCAAUCAUAUAACAAAAGUGCAUUUUUUUUCUUCACAAUUUUUCUAAUUAUUGUGAGUUUAAGAUUGUAGGUCAACAUGGUCGAUAAAGAUGAUCCUCCUAGAGAAACACCUAAGGAUGUUGAAAAUUAUCUAAACUAUUAAAUGCAGAUCAGAAGAUAAUUAGCCAAGCUAUAGUUUAUAGCCAUAAAUGCAUUUAGGAAUCCAAGAAUUAUGAUCGAGAAUUUUGGACAAAGUUUAACUUGUCAGAGCUUAUUUCUUCAUUAAACUAAUGAAGCUUUUCUUCAGCGGUCCUUUCUUCAAGGUAAUUAAAUUGCAAACUUAAUGUUUCAUGAUAUAUCCUAUUGGUUGUUAAAAAAUCGUCUAAUGUAUUUGUUUUUAAUUUUUUUUUUUUUAAAAGUUUGUUUCAAAUUCAAUGCCAAAUAGAGUUAGUUUCAAAUUCAAUGCCAAAUAGACUUGGGGCACCACUAGAGAAUUUGCAUGUUCUUAUGUUUGGUUUUCAGUUUCUUGAUCGAGUUCAGACUUCAGCUGUCAUGUGCUUACUUCAAAGUGCACCGAAGUUGCAUACACUGAAGAUUCACAUAAUUUAUAAUGAGCUAAAUUUAAAUAUCCUUAAUAUUGAUGUCAUAUAUGAAACAUGUUUGGUUGCUUUUGCUAAAAUUUCGCAAUGUACAACUUUUAUAAGUGUCGAUAUAAUCAUUGUUUUAAAUAGGACAUCAAUAAUAAGGAUAUUAAAAUUUCGCUCUUUAAAAAUUACUUGAAUCUUCAGUGUAUGCAAUUUGGGUGCACUUUGAAGUAAGCAAAUGACUGUUGAAAUCUGAACUCGAUCAAGAAAAUAAAAAUCGAACAUAAAAACAUGCAAAUUCUUUAGUGGAGCCCCAAGUCUAUUUGGCAUUGAAUUUGAAACUAAUUUUUUAAAUUUUGUUAGAAAAGAUAUCAUUAAGAACAAAUACAUGAGACUAUUUUCUAACAAGCAAUAGGAUAUAUCGUAUAAAACAUUAAGUUUGCAAUGUAAUUACCUCGAAGAAAAGCGUCGUUAGUUUAGGAAAUGAAGAAAUAAGCUCUGCCAAGUUAAACCUUGUUCAAGAUUCUCGAUCAUAAUUCGUGGUCAUCAAAAUGUUUAACCUUUUCAGCUCAGAAUAGACUUUUACGAACUUCAAAUCAACGUAACGACUUUCAAUAAUGAGCAAGCAACUGAGCGUUGGGGCAGACAUAUUGAGGUAUUGAAUACAACAUGAAAGCUUCAAGAUCAAGAUCAAUGGAGCUAUGAUCAUUUUAUUUGCAAAUAUUGAUCCGAAUGUUAUUAGCCUUAGUUUGACUUUCACAUGUAUCUGAAAGCACGAUAUUGUAGUAAUGUUCACAUAUCUCGAUUUUGAAUACUUGAAUAAGAAAGGAGGCAAAGUAUAUGAUUGUUUCAUGAUGUUUUGGAUGGUCAGUUCAUGAACACCUCCGUUACAUGUCCAAAGCAACCAAACAUCAAUAUUCAAUUUAUAAUGAUCAGCACUUGAAAUGUCAAUAACAAACUUGAUGAUAGGGCCACUGUGGUUCAAGAGGAUUUUGUUGACAAUACUUUUGUAAUCAUCAAAUGUACUUUCGUU